UCUUGCAGUUCUGCAGAUUCACCUGAAA
rnacentral:piRNA from 1 species